AUUGAACGCUGGCGGCAGGCCUAACACAUGCAAGUCGAACGAGUGGCGGACGGGUGUGUAAUGUCUGGGAAACUGCCUGAUGGAGGGGGAUCACUACUGGCAACGGUAGCUAAUACCGCAUACCAUCGGAUGUGCCCAGAUGGGAUUCGCUAGUAGGUGGGGUAAAGGCUCACCUAGGCGACGCUCCCUAGCUGGUCUGAGAGGAUGACCAGCCACACUGGAACUGAGACACGGUCCAGACUCCUACGGGAGGCAGCAGUGGGGAAUAUUGCACAAUGGGCGCAAGCCGGAUGCAGCCAUGCCGCGUGUAUGAAGAAGGCCUUCGGGUUGUAAAGUACUUUCAGCGGGGAGGCGUUACCCGCAGAAGAAGCACCGGCUAACUCCGUGCCAGCAGCCGCGGUAAGUC
rnacentral:rRNA from 1 species